UGAUGCCAUGGGCUCCCAGUGGUCAAGCGGAGCUGACAUUUGGAACUCAAACUCCCUUGAGUGUUGGGGUGAGGCUGCCAUGGCUGUGGUGUAGCAGAGCAAGCUUGCUGUGGUGGUGACCACUUCUGCUGCUGCAGGGUUACAAGGUAGCCAACAUGGUUCAUGGCUUCAUGCUUUAAAUGAUUUACAAACUGCCUGGUGCCUGCUGAUAUGCAGGGUGCCCCAAACGACCAAACCACUUGGUUGGAAUGCUAACUGGGACGGUUCCAUUGGGAAGCAUCAUAUUUCUUUCGAGCAAGAAAGUGUAGGAAGGUUUGUUGGAUUGCUUAAUGGUAUUUCAGAUGCAAAGGCCACAUUCUAUGUUGACACUUGACAGUGAAGUACGAUUGAAGGUAAUUUAAAUUAGCGUCAAAAAUAAGCUGAGUUUUAAGUUCCAUGUGGCUUGAAUUCGCUUCCCAGGUGCAACAACACAUUGUUGAAGCUUGACCAAUUCAUGAUCAAGCUUGUGUUUUUAAAUUUGGAAGUAAGGGCGCAUGCCCUCAAAACAUGGAGCAAGGUGCUAUUUGUUCAUUUCAUCUUCAUGUCAAUCUAUGGAAGUCUGAGGGUGACAUCAGUGGCAAGAGAUCAGGCCCCUUGUUUAAGUUUCUUGUCCAAACUGCGCGUGCGUAGCUAGCUAGAUGUUCUCCGCGUCCUUGUUUCCAUCUCUCCGGUGCUUGCAGCAGUUCCUUGCCUUUUGAUCCAAGGUCAGCUUUGCCUCCCUAGUAUAAUUAUUGAUUACUGGGCAUGGAUUAGCGCUCUUCAAGGCCUUCAUGGUGCAUUAAUAAUACCUGUCUUAUCUAUCUCUUGUGCUCUACUUAUUUUAGGUUCUUAGCUGGAUCAAUAUGUUUAUUGAAUCUGAUAUAUGCUGAAACACUCUAUUUUGUUUGUAAAUUACUCGUACUACUCUUUUUUUGCAUGCAGAUCUUUUUCUCGAAGCAAGUUUUGUUCUGUGUAACUUCUCAUGCAGACCUUCGGCAUCAAAGUUGGUAAAUUUCGCCCCAAGAAACCCCGAGGAAAAACUACCUGCCCAGCCCGCAAAUUUUGUCAAACAAGAUGCGACUACCUAGUAAAAAGCACCCUGGCACCAGCUAGAGCACUAAGCAAGGAUCCAACAAAUUGCUUAAAGGAAAGGAGGGUCCUCUGAAAGCUCUCAGAGCUCGAGGUGUACUUUGCCGCUUCUCCAAACUUGGAACCAAACAAAAAGCUUCUGGUCUUGCAGCAAUUUCUGGGGCCUCUGAUCACCUAAUAGGCAGAAAGUUCGUGCAGAAUUUUGACUGCUUAACUCUCCAACUCCAGGUUCCGACACUAAUCAUUGCUCCGUAUUCCAUAUGGCAAUAAGCAGUCAUCCUGGCUGGUUUAACUUUUUCGAAAAAUGCUUAAUUAGCAGCUAAGCUUAGCCCAUGAGCAUUCUAUACCUGUAACUAUCGAGCUAAAGGCGAACGGUUCGUGGGUAACUUUGUUACAGACCCACCAUGUUUCUUUGUACUGUUCUCAAAUUCUGCGAUGUGACUGAACUAGUUGCUUGGAGAUAUCUUAUUUUAGGAGAAUGGAACAAACCUCUUUUAUCAAGA